rnacentral:rRNA from 1 species
GACGAACGCUGGCGGCGUGCUUAACACAUGCAAGUCGAACGGAAAGGCCCUGCUUGCAGGGUACUCGAGUGGCGAACGGGUGAGUAACACGUGGGUGAUCUGCCCUGCACUUCGGGAUAAGCCUGGGAAACUGGGUCUAAUACCGGAUAGGAGCCAUUUUUAGUGUGAUGGUUGGAAAGUUUUUUCGGUGUAGGAUGAGCUCGCGGCCUAUCAGCUUGUUGGUGGGGUAAUGGCCUACCAAGGCGGCGACGGGUAGCCGGCCUGUGAGGGUGGACGGCCACAUUGGGACUGAGAGACGGCCCAGACUCCUACGGGAGGCAGCAGGGGGGAAUAUUGCACAAUGGGCGCAAGCCUGAUGCAGCGACGCCGCGUGGGGGAUGACGGCCUUCUGGUUGUAAACUCCUUUCGCUAGGGACGAAGCUUUUUGUGACGGUACCUAGAUAAGAAGCACCGGCUAACUACGUG